rnacentral:piRNA from 1 species
UGAACAUUGCAAUAAUAUGGUUUACAUUGC